rnacentral:tRNA from 1 species
GGCGUCGUAGCUCAGUUGGCUAGAGCAUUUGCUGUACUAAAGCCUUCCCCUUGCUGGCGUGGGUUCGAAUCCCACCGAGGCCG